UAUACGGGGCGCAGCAGGCGCGAAACCUUUGCAAUAGGCGAAAGCCUGACAGGGUUACUCUGAGUGAUUUCCGCUAAGGGGAUCUUUUGGCACCUCUAAAAAUGGUGCAGAAUAAGGGGUGGGCAAGUCUGGUGUCAGCCGCCGCGGUAAUACCAGCACCCCGAGUGGUCGGGACGAUUAUUGGGCCUAAAGCAUCCGUAGCCGGUUCUGCAAGUCUUCCGUUAAAUCCAGCCGCUCAACGGAUGGGCCGCGGAGGAUACUACAGGACUAGGAGGCGGGAGAGGCAAGCGGUACUCAGUGGGUAGGGGUAAAAUCCUUUGAUCCAUUGAAGACCACCAGUGGCGAAGGCGGCUUGCCAGAACGCGCUCGACGGUGAGGGAUGAAAGCUGGGGGAGCAAACCGGAUUAGAUACCCGGGUAGUCCCAGCUGUAAACGAUGCAGACUCGGUGAUGGGCUAGCCUUGUGCCAGCCCAGUGCCGCAGGGAAGCCG
rnacentral:rRNA from 1 species